UACGGGGGGGGCAAGCGUUGUUCGGAAUUACUGGGCGUAAAGGGCUCGUAGGCGGCCAACUAAGUCAGACGUGAAAUCCCUCGGCUUAACCGGGGAACUGCAUCUGAUACUGGAUGGCUUGAGAUUGGGAGAGGGAUGCGGAAUUCCAGGUGUAGCGGUGAAAUGCGUAGAUAUCAAGAGGAACACCUGCGGCGAAGGCGGGUUGCUGGGCCGACACUGACGCUGAGGCGCGAAAGCCAGGGGAGCGAACGGG
rnacentral:rRNA from 1 species